UACAGAGGGUGCGAGCGUUGUUCGGAAUUACUGGGCGUAAAGCGCGCGCAGGCGGCUAUCCAAGUCAGUGGUGAAAGCCCGGAGCUCAACUCCGGAACUGCCAUUGAAACUGUUUAGCUUGAGGACGAGAGAGGUGAGUGGAAUUCCCAGUGUAGAGGUGAAAUUCGUAGAUAUUGGGAAGAACACCGGUGGCGAAGGCGGCUCACUGGCUCGUUUCUGACGCUCAGGCGCGACAGCGUGGGGAGCAAACAGG
rnacentral:rRNA from 1 species